UAUGGGUAAUUGGAUUACAAGCUGGAAAACUAUCUAGGAAGAGUCGUUUAGUGUAGGUGAGGUUGUGUUGUUUUCCGUUUAUGUUAUAUAUGAUUGCUAACUACUUCAUUAGUAUUACUUGUAUAUGAAAUGGGAGGAGUAUAAACUGAAAUGUUAUCUUGUUGUCAUUCUUAUGCAAUAAAUGUGUUUAUUUGGGUGUAAAAAUUUG
rnacentral:lncRNA from 1 species